GGCUGUCGGAUGGUAGUGGGUUAUCAGAACUUAUCACAUUAGUGUCAUAAAGUUGAUAUUCAACCCUCACUGCUAAAUUGGACUGGCUUUAA
rnacentral:Y_RNA from 1 species